rnacentral:rRNA from 1 species
GACGAACGCUGGCGGCGUGCCUAAUACAUGCAAGUCGAGCGAAGCGGCGGAUGGGUGAGUAACGCGUGGGUAACCUGCUCUUAAGUCUGGGAUACCAUUUGGAAACAGAUGCUAAUACCGGAUAUUAAAGGAUUGACCUGCGAUGCAUUAGCUAGUUGGUAAGGUAACGGCUUACCAAGGCGAUGAUGCAUAGACGAAUUGGAAGACUGAUCGGCCCAAUUGGGACUAGAACACGGCACAAACUCCAAGGGGAGGUAACGGUAGGGAAUCUUACACAAUGAACGAAAGUGUGCUAGGGCAGAGCCGCAUGAGUGAGGAAGGUUUUCGGAUCGAAAAGCUCUGUUGUUGGUGAAGCGGUAAUCAACCAGAAAGACACGGCUAACUACGUGCCAGCAGCCGCGGUAAUUC